rnacentral:misc_RNA from 1 species
AACGCACAUUGCGCCCGUCAGUAUUCUGGCGGGCAUGCCUGUUCGAGCGUCAUUACGCCCCUCAAGUCCCCCGUGGACUUGGUGUUGGGGAUCGGCGAGGCUGGUUUUCCAGCACAGCCGUCCCUCAAAUUAAUUGGCGGUCUCGCCGUGGCCCUCCUCUGCGCAGUAGUAAAACACUCGCAACAGGAGCCCGGCGCGGUCCACUGCCGUAAAACCCCCCAACUUUUUAUAGUUGACCUCGAAUCAGGUAGGACUACCCGCUGAACUUAA